rnacentral:lncRNA from 1 species
AAAAACUAUAUUUAUUUCAUAUGAUAACUUUGUGAGGAAAUACCAUCACAAACAAAUACAACACAUUCGACAUACAAGCAACACAAAAACAACAACACAACAGACUAAAACAAAUAAAACAUAAUUACUAUAAUGACAUCAAUGGAAAAGUUGUCGCAACAUCUUCUUACAAGGCGAUAUCAUGUCAAAAGAAUAUAAACCAAGUGGGGAACACAUGGGUUGGCAUAGAUCUUUGUCAAAUUUGUAUCUAUCACAUGAAAGAUUACUAUUUGAUCAUCUUAACCAACCCUCAUCUUCAAACUUCCAACACACUAGACCAUCAACAAGCACUUCCAUCUAACAACCUUUCAACCCAACACAACAACCUUUCAACCUAACACAACAACCUUAUACCCCAAUUCAACACUACCAUCAACAAUACCCACCAUUUAAACUAAUCCCUUACAACACCCAACAACAAAAUCCAAUUUUUACCCCCUCAACAUCAUACACCCAACCACAAACAC